rnacentral:SRP_RNA from 13 species
GCUGGGAGUUGUGGCGUGCUCCUGUAAUCCAGCUACUUUGGAGGCUUGAGUCGGAGGACGGUUUGAGUGCGGGGGUUCUGCUCUCGGGCGUGCCAUGUCGAUCGGGUGUCCGCACUAAGCCCGGCAUUAAUAUGGUGAUCUUGUAGGAAUACGAGAUUUCCAGGUUGACUAAGGAGGGACGAACCGGCCCAGGGGGGAAACCCAGCAGGCAAAAGUCCCCGUGUCGCGCAGUAGUGGGAUCGCACCCGUGAAUGGGCGUUCGUUGGCAGCCCGUCCGAUAUAAUCGGACCCGGCUCUUAUU